GGCUGCUGUUAAUAAAUGGCGGUUAUGCCUCAACGUGUCGGUAGGAAUGGCUAUAUAUCCGUCAGUCAACACAAAGCUUGGUCCACUAUGGCAAAGAAUAAACGUUGAACGAAGAAAAGAGACAGCACGGUAUUAUGUUCGGUUGAUUCGGCUGGAAAUAAAAACGAAACAAAAUAGAAUGAAAAUAAAAAUAGAAUAAAGAAAA